rnacentral:rRNA from 1 species
AGGCAACCUGCCCUCAAGUUUGGGACAACUACCGGAAACGGUAGCUAAUACCGAAUAAUUGUUUUCUUCGCCUGAAGGAAACUGGAAAGACGGAGCAAUCUGUCACUUGGGGAUGGGCCUGCGGCGCAUUAGCUAGUUGGUGGGGUAACGGCUCACCAAGGCGACGAUGCGUAGCCGACCUGAGAGGGUGAUCGGCCACACUGGGACUGAGACACGGCCCAGACUCCUACGGGAGGCAGCAGUAGGGAAUCUUCCGCAAUGGGCGAAAGCCUGACGGAGCAAUGCCGCGUGAGUGAUGAAGGUUUUCGGAUCGUAAAGCUCUGUUGCCAGGGAAGAACGCUUGGGAGAGUAACUGCUCUCAAGGUGACGGUACCUGAGAAGAAAGCCCCGGCUAACUACGUGCCAGCAGCCGCGGUAAUACGUAGGGGGCAAGCGUUGUCCGGAAUUAUUGGGCGUAAAGCGCGCGCAGGCGGUCAUUUAAGUCUGGUGUUUAAUCCCGGGGCUCAACCCCGGAUCGCACUGGAAACUGGGUGACUUGAGUGCAGAAGAGGAGAGUGGAAUUCCACGU